GUAAACGAUGUCUACUUGGAGGUUGGUGUCUUGAACACUGGCUUUCGGAGCUAACGCGUUAAGUAGACCGCCUGGGGAGUACGGUCGCAAGAUUAAAACUCAAAUGAAUUGACGGGGGCCCGCACAAGCGGUGGAGCAUGUGGUUUAAUUCGAUGCAACGCGAAGAACCUUACCUACUCUUGACAUCCAGAGAACUUUCCAGAGAUGGAUUGGUGCCUUCGGGAACUCUGAGACAGGUGCUGCAUGGCUGUCGUCAGCUCGUGUUGUGAAAUGUUGGGUUAAGUCCCGCAACGAGCGCAACCCUUAUCCUUGUUUGCCAGCACUUCGGGUGGGAACUCCAGGGAGACUGCCGGUGAUAAACCGGAGGAAGGUGGGGACGACGUCAAGUCAUCAUGGCCCUUACGAGUAGGGCUACACACGUGCUACAAUGGCGUAUACAGAGGGCUGCGAGCUAGCGAUAGUGAGCGAAUCCCACAAAGUACGUCGUAGUCCGGAUUGGAGUCUGCAACUCGACUCCAUGAAGUCGGAAUCGCUAGUAAUCGUGGAUCAGAAUGCCACGGUGAAUACGUUCCCGGGCCUUGUACACACCGCCCGUCACACCAUGGGAGUGGGCUGCACCAGAAGUAGAUAGCUUAACCUUCGGGAGGGCGUUUACCACGGUGUGGUUCAUGACUGGGGUGAAGUCGUAACAAGGUAGCCCUAGGGGAACCUGGGGCUGGAUCACCUCCUUACCUAAAGA
rnacentral:rRNA from 1 species